AUACGGAGGAUGCGAGCGUUAUCCGGAUUUAUUGGGUUUAAAGGGUGCGUAGGCUGUGCGUUAAGUCAGGGGUGAAAUGCCGUCGCUCAACGACGGAGCUGCCCUUGAUACUGGCGUGCUGGAGUACGGAUGCCGUUGGAGGAAUGAGUGGUGUAGCGGUGAAAUGCUUAGAUAUCACUCAGAACACCAAUGGCGAAGGCAUCUGCGAAAUCCGUGAGUGACGCUGAGGCACGAAAGCGGGGGGAUAGAACAGGAUUAGAUACCCGGGUAGUCCUCGCCGUAAACGAUGAUGACUAAUCGUCGGCGAUAGACAGCCGGUGGCCAAGCGAAAGCGAUAAGUCAUCCACCUGGGGAGUACGUCGGCAACGAUGAAACUCAAAUGAAUUGACGGGG
rnacentral:rRNA from 1 species